rnacentral:rRNA from 1 species
AACAAAAACAUGUCCUCUUGAAAUUAAUUUGAGGUCUAGCCUGCCCACUGAAAUUAUUUAAAUGGCCGCAGUAAUUUGACUGUGCAAAGGUAGCAUAAUCAUUAGUUUUUUAAUUAAAAGCUUGUAUGAAUGGUUGGACAAAGUAAAAUCUGUCUCUAUUUAAUUUAUAGUAGAAUUUAAUUUUUAAGUUAAAAAGCUUAAAUUUUUAUAAAAGACGAGAAGACCCUAUAGAUCUUUAUUUAAAUUUAUAUAAUUUUAAUUUAGAAUUUUUUAUUAAUUAUAUUUUUUUAAAUUUUAUUGGGGUAAUAAAAAGAUUAAAAAAAUUCUUUUUUUAAUAUACAUUGAUUUAUGAAUAAAUGAUCCAAUAUUUUUGAUUAAAAGAUUAAGUUACCUUAGGGAUAACAGCGUAAUUUUUUUAGAGAGUUCAUAUCGAUAAAAAAGUUUGCGACCUCGAUGUUG